UUCCGGUUGAUCCUGCCAGAGGUCACUGCUCUCAGUGUUCGAUUAAGCCAUGCAAGUCAAAUGUUCUUCGUGAACAUGGCGUACUGCUCAGUAACACGUGGAUAACCUGCCCUUCGGACCGGCAUAACCCUGGGAAACUGGGGAUAAUACCGGAUAAGCCAUGAAUGCUGGAAUGCUUCGUGGUUGAAAUGGUUUCGACCGCCCAAGGAUGGAUCUGCGGCCUAUCAGGUAGUAGUGGGUGUAACGUACCUACUAGCCUACGACGGGUACGGGUUGUGAGAGCAAGAGCCCGGAGAUGGAUUCUGAGACAUGAAUCCAGGCCCUACGGGGCGCAGCAGGCGCGAACACUUUACUAUGCGGGAAACCGCGAUAAGGGGACACUGAGUGCCAGCAUACUAUGUUGGCUGUCCACAUGUUUUAAAACGCAUGUGAUAGCAAGGGCCGGGCAAGACCGGUGCCAGCCGCCGCGGUAACACCGGCGGCCCGAGUGGUGAUCACUAUUAUUGGGUCUAAAGGGUCCGUAGCCGGUUUGAUCAGUCUUCUGGGAAAUCUGACAGCUUAACUGUUAGGCUUCCAGGGGAUACUGUCAGACUUGGGACCGGGAGAGGUAAGAGGUACUACAGGGGUAGGAGUGAAAUCUUGUAAUCCCUGUGGGACCACCAGUGGCGAAGGCGUCUUACCAGAACGGGUCCGACGGUGAGGGACGAAAGCUGGGGGCACGAACCGGAUUAGAUACCCGGGUAGUCCCAGCCGUAAACGAUGCUCGCUAGGUGUCAGGAAUGGUGCGACCGUUUCUGGUGCCGCAGGGAAGCCGUGAAGCGAGCCACCUGGGAAGUACGGCCGCAAGGCUGAAACUUAAAGGAAUUGGCGGGGGAGCACUACAACGGGUGGAGCCUGCGGUUUAAUUGGAUUCAACGC
rnacentral:rRNA from 1 species